GCUUGAUAUUUAUUGAAAAUCUUAUUUAUUAUAUGCACUGUGAUAGUUUUUCUUAAAAUAGUCACACAAGUUUAUUUACUAAAAAAAAAAAAUCAGUAAAUAGAAAGGUAUAAUGAAAAAUGCAGGCCAAAAUAGCCGAUUAGUGAAAAUGGAAAUGUACUCUUGUACAAAUAAACCCCACAAAGAAUGUGGAGGUAUUCUCCCUGAAAAAUAGUUGAUAUAGGUCAAAUACAUACAAUUAACAUAUAGUGCACUAUUUAUAGAAUACAUGGGAAAACACAGAAUAUAUUGGCUUACCUAGAACCUCUAAAUUGUGAGCUAUUAGUAUGCAGGACAGGAGGCUGAAAAACAUGGGUAAAAGUACCGCUACUGAGGACAAUAAAAUGUUCCAUGAAAGUAAACCUAAUUAAACACCAGUCUAAAUACCUACAUCACAUGUGAACACACACUGCCAG